AGAGAAACAAUUUAUUAUAACAAUAAAGAUGUACUUGCCAAAAUGGCACCAAUACAAUGUCUGAACAAAGACGAAAAAGAAACGCUAGUGGACAUACUCCACUAGCUCAAUCCUACAACUAAGCUAGAAUGUAAAUGGGAAAGCAUCCUUUAAAGCAUGAGGGCCUACCAAGUCCGGAUGAAUGUUCGACGUCCGGAUAAGUGCAGCGUUGAUCCUGUAGCUCUAGCGUCCACCUGUGCCUGCACCUAAAAGUAUAGAGUUGUAUAGGGUUAGUAAACACUUGUACUAAGUAUGGGUAUAUGAAAGCACACACCAAGGACAUGCAUGAGUAAGAUUAGCUCUUUCCUAAUAACAUGAUUAUAGAAGUGCAAGUCAGUGGACAUGCCAAAUUGAGAUUAGGAAAGUGAGUGAGCUUUCCGAAUUUGAAUUAGGAAAGUUUAUGAGAUUUCCAAAUUUGGAUUAGGAAAGUUAUGCCAUGAGAGUAACAUACAUCAUCAUACUCAACAUUUUGCACACAUCACACAACAGCGUACACAUAGCACAUAUCAUAAUUUCUAUAACACAUAACGUUGUUCGUAUCAUUCAUUCAUAUGCUAUGAGACCUUGGAAUUAUGGACUUGACAUUAAGACUUCCCAAAAAUGAGGGCUCAACGUAUGGGGCCUCCAACUAGGGAGUCUGCAUUAGCAAACACAGAGUUUGCUUCGUUCAUUCAUAUGUACUUAAUUUCAUUUCAUUCAUGGGACAGUGUAAACACCAACUAUACCUAGGAUGUAGUUUAAGACUUUCAUCAGGUUCGUUGUGCAAUGACCAAGAAUGACCUAAUGUCCUUACUUGAAUCUAACUCACCUCUUGAUUAUCCUAUCCUAACACAUUUGGUAUCAUUUGUUUCAUUAUGUGUAUCAUUUUGAGGCUGGCCUCAUUCAUUCAUUAGGAACUUUAACUUUAACCGACAUAGAUCAUGUGAGCAUCAUGAAAUCCAGUGUCAUGAAACCCCACACCGAAAAGAGUUGGAAUCACCGGCCAAAGUGACCCAAAACAUGCUAGCGUACAUGGGAAUUGAACUUCGCCACAUCUAUAUAUUGGCAGUGUAGGUUCAAAGACUAGGAGAUAUAAGGAGACCCAUACCCGGCAUGCUGGACAGUCUCAUCUCAUGAGAGUUACAUGAACCUCCACCCUUCUCAAAAGAAGGUAUCAUCUCUCAUAGCUAGUCUAUCGGUGCUCAGUAUAAAGUUCCAUUACAUUUAAUUCAUACGUCAUGGAAGCUGGCUUCUAGUAUGAGGACAUCAUAGAUAAAUAGAUGAUUUCUCAUCUAAUCAUUAGUAUUAAGUGUAUUAAUGUCAAUACUUUCAUUAGAGUGUUCAUAGAGACUGGUCUCUUCAUUAACUUUACACUCUCAUAGGUGAGUACGUUUUGGCAACAUUUACUUAGGCUCAUUUGAGAUUGCUAUCAUCUUUUACAUUAUACUCAUACCAAGUUGUCACCACAUUCAUCAAUAUUAUCACAUUUGCUCUUCAUAAUUACUCAUCCCUUUUUACGUGAAUGUUAAUUUCAUCUUAUGCCAAUGCACUUGGUCAUUUGUGUGUUUCACACUCUUACUUAACCCUUCUAGGGUUUCAUGAUUUCAUUACAUAAUAAUCAUUUCAUCGUAUGCCAAUGCACUUGGCCAUUUAGUGUGUUUUACACUCGUACUUAACCCUUUUAGGGUUACAUCAUUUCAUUACAUACAUCUUAGGUUCACUUAUUUUUAAACGUAUGCUAGACUUAUAGGUCUAUACAUACAAGCCAUAAGGCUUCAUUCAUAGUUCGUUUAAGUGAUUCAUAUAUUCUUAAGAUUAUGUAGUACAAGACAUAUGCAUCUUGUAUGUAUGCCAAGAUCACAAUUUCGAUCUAAGUAGGCAGCAUUAUUCUUGAAGAUUUAAUUCACGUAUGACUUAUGCAUCUAUACAGAAUUUGGGCAAGGGAACCCAAUUUCGAGUCCCUUAGACAAAACUUCAAUUUUUUUUAAUUUAUUGUAUUUUGGUCAACAUGACAUUGGAACCCUAGAUCGAGCCCCAACAUAAAUGUUUCCUCUUUAUUUUUUUAUCCUCUGAAUUAACUCUUACUUGGCCGAGGGGUUGUGGGAUCAAACCCCCACAGCCCCUUUUAUUGUGUUUUUUUAAAUCUUUUUCUCCUUGUCUAUUUCGAGUUGACUAUGAGGUUGUGGGAUCAAAACCCCAUAGCCUCUUUUUGUUUUUCUUUUAUUCACCUCCUUAAAUCUGCCUAAGAGGUCGUCGGUUCGAUUCUCACACGCCUCCCCCUUUAUUUUUCUUUUAUUAUCCUCCUUAAAUCUGCCUAAGAGGUCGUGGGUUCGAUUCCCACACGCCUCCCCCUUUAUUUUUGUUUUAUUCACCUCCUUAAAUCUACCUAAGAGGUCGUGGGUUCGAUUCCCACACACCUCCCCCUUUAGUUUUCUUUUAUUCACCUCCUUAAUAUGCCUAAGAGGUCGUGGGUUCGAUUCCCACACGCCUCCCCCUUUAGUUUUCUUUAAUUCUCCUCCUUAAUCUGCCUAAGAGGUCGUGGGUUCGAUUCCCGCUCGCCUCCCCCUUUAUUUUUCUUUUAUUCUCCUCCUUAAAUCUGAUUGAGAGGUGGUGGGUUCGAAUCCCUCUCCUCUCAUUUCAUAUUUUUUUCUUUUAAGUUACAUUUUCUAGCCAAUACCAUGGUUCGAAUCCCCUUCACCACAUUUCUUUUUAGUUCUUUGUUUUCAUGGUUUAUAACAUGGUGAGUUCACAGGUUCAAUCCUCCAUGACCUCACUUGUUUUAAUUCAUUUUUUCAAUAUUUUGAACCCUCUUUGCUGACCGAAAUUCAUCACUAGAAGCUGGAAAUUUUCUUUUAAUAUUUCAGCAUCCUUUCAUCAAGUUACACAUUAGUUCUUAAGGGAAUUUCUUAGUGCAUUUAGAACGUUUUAGGUGCGUUUUCAUGGAUUCAUUUAGACAAGAGAUUAUCCCUCAAAUCAGCCACAUUUCAACUCAUAUGAACAUCACAUUUACAUCAACAUGUGUACAUGAAAUAUAAAUAACUAUCAUGCCAUUUCAAGUCCUAAACCAUGAACAAUAGCCACGACAACACACACAUACACACGUAGAUACAUUUUCGGAAACAUUAACAUAAGUCACAUAAUUCCAAACAUACAUAUUAACACCUAAUAAUUACGAAAACACGUUUCAUCCCCAGUUUUCUACCAGCAAACAUAACCAACCUAUGAUUCAAUGGGAGCUAGUGACAAGGACAUGCAACCGGCAACAAUCUUAGUUUUUGGAAUAUAUUCGUUUGAACCUUAGGAGGUCUCUUGGGAAAGGGACCAAGAGAGAAGAGAACCAAUACCUUUUUGACGUUCAACCCUCGACUUGUUGCACAAAGAACUCCUACAAACACACGUCCAACACCAAAAGUUCAACACCAAACUCGACGGAAAACCUUCUCUUUGCCUACGUGAUUCAUUAAUGUUUGUUUUUCUUAUUUUUUUCGUGUGAGUUCUUCAAGUGUGAAGAACUUUGGUUUACCUACUAUUUUUGGAGUUAUUUUGGCAGAGAAAACGUGAAUGAGAGUGAUAGAGAUGUGAGAGAUGGAGAUGAGCGUGGGAGAGAAGAGUUUUCUUAGGCUUACGAGUCAAGUCUAGGACUUAGUCAAAUAAGAUUUUAUUUAAUUACUAAAAAUCCGAUUUCCUUUUAUUUUAAAUCAGAUAAUAACUAAUAAAUAUAAAUGAAUUACAUUAAUUUACCAAAUUAAAAAAAAUUAUUUAAUUCAUUGCUUCCACCUAGGUUUGAACCGGGUGGAGCAAGACUUCAGUUCAAAAGCCCAAUUUCGGCCCUCUCUCCCCAAAAUUCCCCUCCACAUUAUUAAUAAAAUAAUUAAUUAUAAAUUUAGGGUUAUUACGAUCUACCCUUAGCCUGAAAAAAAUACUAUUUUACCCCUAGACCCUCCAAACCAAAGAUUUCCUCUUUUUAAGUCCGGUAAAGACUCCUUCGAGUAAAUCUACAUAUUCGAGAGCCCUACAUGGUUGGAACCAACCUUUCCUAUCCCAAAUAACUCCCCAAUUUAGUUGUCUUGGAUGUAUCAAGAGUUUCGAGUUUUUGUUCUACUCGCAUCAAUCCGUGUGAACCCGGUCUAAUCGUUGGUAUUCUAGACAUAUUAAGCAUUACAUAGCAUAUCUAUUUUUAGGGUUGUUACACUCAUAGAAUUUACUAGACAAUUAUGUAAACAUCUAAUCAUAAUAGCUCAUAGAGGUUCAUAAGUGAGAACAUUCUGUCACUUUAGAAAAACUAGCAAGUGAGUAAACCUUUCACUUUAACAUUAUAUUAUAAUCAUGAGAACUAUCUUUCAAUCGUAUAACAAUCAUACCAUAUCAUACAUACAUACUAUAGUUAAUUCAAUUGUAUAGGGUUAAGCAUGACAGAAACUUGUCAUUAACUCCAAAAUAACACACAUUAUAUCAAUCAUUACUAUCUAACCAAUUCAUCUUUCAUACGUAAGUUCAAAGAAGAACCAACUACCUACUUGCCUUCAUGGGAAUUCAUCCGUCAGCUACCCCAAAAUGCAUAACCAACACAUAAUAUAAGGUAAGUUAUGAAGCAAUAACAUAACUAACAUCAAUAUAAAGUAAGAUAUGAAGCAAUAACAUAACUAACAUCAAUAUAAAGUAAUUCAUGAAGCAAUAACAUAACUAACAUCAAUAUAUAAAAUUGUUAUAUUUAUUAUCUUCAAUCAAUUAACCAUAUCAAAUCCAAGAUUUAUGAAAUUGGGGAAGAACAUGGGUCAAGGGGAGUUCCAAGUUUACAAUAACAACUACCCAUCAUUAUACUCCUAAACAACCUUAGGUAAUCAUAAUUUAUUAUAAUUGAUUUCAAAAUUUCAUUUUUUAAAGAAGACUCAUGUGUAGAGAAAAACCCUAGAUCUUGGGAAAUUUUGAAUACAUCUUUGAAAGGAAUUGAACAUGUUCAAGCUUGGUGAAGGAACAUCUAAAGUUUGGGCCAAAAGGCCAAAUGUUGAACUAGAUACACCUCCGUUCUGCGCUUGUGCCUCCACCUGCACCACUACCAGCACCAGAAUAACCAGAGUUGUCAAAGAGCAUGAGAACCUAGUAUGUAUGUGAAAUUGGUAAGCUAACAUCAUUGAUCAUCCAUAUACAAUCUAAUCUAGAACUGAUUUUUUAUGUUCCUAACUAGGACGGGUUUUCUGACUGGUUAUCAUGUUCACCACCAUUUGAACCACUUACACCUGAUUAAAACUUCAGCGAUCUCAAUGUUGAUGCAUUCGUCGUUGUUGCUGCUCCAAAAGAUUCAACAUUGGGUAUUUUUACCCAAACCACAAAUGUUCCUUCCCAUGCAUUCAUUCUUCCCCUAUACAUAUUUAUUUUUGUAUAAAAGGUUACACCUUAGGAAUAUGCUAACCCUCUCUUUUUGGGUCGGGAGUAGAACAUCGGAUUCCAUGUAAAUCACAUGGUCUAAUGUUGGUUAUUACAACCUUUUUACGUAAUGUAAAAGUAAAUGAAUAAAGGAGAAGUAUGAAUUAUUACUACGACUUUCUUAAGGGGUUCUACAUAGUGUAAGGGAGGGUAUGAGACUUUUCUUACACAUUGCACUAGUGGGAUCCUAAGAGAUAGUUGUAGUAGUGUUGUCUUAUGAGUAUGUUACUAUGACUUAUGUAUAUCCUUACGUAUAUGGUAACUUAUGAUAUGAUAUUAGGAAUGUAUGUAUGAAGUGGGUCACCUAAUGUGAUACUUAGUUUUGGAUUGGGUUACAGAAUUUUAUUCUUUGCAUUGAACAAGUAUUGUGUGGGUUGUCUACAUGUUGGGAUGAUAUCAUAUUGCGUUGACUUAUGAUGCUUACUUUAUAUUCAUAUUUGAUAUACUUGUCAAAAGCAUGUUUUGACUAAAAUGCCCUUUUAUAUAUGCAUUGAUGAAUUUAAUGCAUAAAAGGCAUAAUUUAUCAUAAUUGAUUCAUAAUAUUGUUUCUCAAAAAAUACCCAUUUGUAGAGAAAAAUCCUAGAUUUUGGGGAAUUUUGAAUACAUCUUUGAAGGGACUUCUUGGGGAAAGGAAUCCCACGAGUAAAAAAACCAUACCUUAAUAAAGAUUUAUCCACGAAAUUGAGUUGAAUACUUUGAGAAUUGAUCCUCUUCUUUGAGCUCCAAAGUUAUUUAAUGGAGCUUUAGGAAAGAGAUAGAAGCUAGAGAGAAGGAAGAGCUUUAAUAAUUCUUUUUUGACUUCUAAUUUAGUGUUUUUUAUUUUGAUUGGGGAAUGGGUGUAAACUGACUAAAAACUAUAUAUAUAACUCCAAAAUACCCAAAAACACACUAGUCGGUCCAUAAAACAAAAGUCUGACUUCACUUUUCAUUAGAUCUCAAAAUUUGUCAAGAAUAGGAGGUGGGUCCGCGACGCGCAGUAGUGUGCAAAUUAAUUUUAGAAAAUGAUUUUUUAGGAAGAAGACCUCGUAUUAGCUCUACGAUGCGGAGCUGAAAUUUUCAAGAUCUUGAGCCAUGCGCCGGCCAAUGCCAAAUUUCGUCAAUAUGAAUUUCUUCUUCGCUUCUCAUCUCUAAACCUUCACAACUUCCCCGAUUCUUUCCCCAGACAAUUAAGACUAAUUACCUCUUUUAGGUCAUAAUUCAUUGGGUUAGACUCUAGUUUAGGUUAUAGUAUUUCCAGGGUUUUAAAGAUGUUCAACAUAUAUACAUAAAACUAGACAUGAUCAUUGCAUAAAACCCCUUUUGAACUAACACUAUUUGUGGGAAGUGAAAAUUAUAAGUUUUUCUCUAUCUUUGACACUAUAUGUAUAGAAUCCUUCUCUAAGUCUUUUAAUUCACCAAAUCCCGUUUCUCUCUUUCAUUUUCUUUCUCUAUCAUUAUUUGGUGAAAUGAAAGACCUAGAGAAGGAUAUUAUAUAUAGCGUGAAAAGUAGAUAAAGAGUUAACACUUGAAUUUUUUCCCUUCCAACCAAUAGUGUCAGUUCGCAAAGGGCUUUUAUGGAAUUACCAUCGCUAGUUUAUAUAUAUAUAUAUAUAUAUAUAUAUAUAUAUAUAUAUGUUGACCACAUCUUUAAUUUAUUUUCUCAUGAACUUCAAUUUAAAUUCUUACUUCCGGAUUAAAAUUUCAAGUUAUCUUUGAAAAUGUUGAAGCAUAUGACAAUGUCAUUUAAAAUUAUGUUUGACUGAUUAAACAACACAUAUUUUAGUUAUUUACUUAGUAAUGUUUUCAAUUCACACAUUUUCACAUGUGGCCUGAUUCAUUUUGGAGAUACAAAGAUUUUAACGUGCUUAUAAUGUUUGUCAUCUCUAAUACCAUGUUGAAAAGUUUGGGUGUUUUGAGUCUUCUCCCCCUUCUAGGAAGGCAAAGGGUUAGGAAUGAAUUAUUCAUAACCUUAAGUUAAACUCUUGAUAAAAAGUACUGAAAUUAGCACAAUUAUAUUGGUGAGCAGUGACAUAGGCAGAAAAUCUAUGAAGGGCGUCCAAAAUAAAGCCCAACAUAGAAAAAUGUGGCCAUGGGUAACUAAACCUCAAUGACAAACAACCUUCUUCACACUAUUGCAUCUAAGGCUACCACUCUAUAUACAACAAAGUAUCUCAUUUUUCAUUUAAUUUAUCAUUUUGCAAUAGACCAAAUUAAACAAAAUAUACAAAAUACUACUGCAACUAAGUUACCACUCUAAUACAUCAAAAUAUUUUGUUUUUCAUUUAAUUAACUGUUUUACAGUAAACCACAUUAAACAAAAUAUACAAAACAUAGAUGGAUUGGUAAGAACUUGGGUAUUGUGUACAUUGGACACACUUUUUACACUACAUUAUGGCUCAUUGUUGUUAUUUAGGGUGUUCAAAAUACUUAAUAUAUCAAUAUCAAGUAAUAUUUGACCCGAAACAGUUCUAAGAGGGGUAAUUUACUGCAUAAAAACAAGCUCGGGAAAUUUAUUGUAGAAACAAGACAAGACAAAUUGUGGAAAAUAUCAUGGAAGAUACUAGACAUUAUGGAAUAAGCAAGACAAAUUGUGGAAAAUACAGCUUCAAAGUUCAACAUUUAUAUAGUUGAGGAAAUCUACUAGUAAAUGUCAUUGUUAAUAGUGCUUAAAGUAAGUCGAAGGUACAAGAAUACAAGCAGUUCGAAAAGAUACCAGCUAAUUGCAGAAGAGUUCUAAACAUGAAAAAAGCACAAAUCGCAAGUUCUAGAAUCAAUACAAGAAAGAUAAAGGACAUAAACAAUCAGUAUACACAAUAUUUACACUAAUCAAGAUGUGGUGAGUCUCACAAAAUUUUAUAUGUACACCUCAUGUUUUUUCCAAUACCAAUGCUUAAAAUCGGUGAUAAAUAAAGAGUUACCUUCUCUGACUUAUGAGCUUACAAAAGAAGAAAUCUGCAAAAUUUGAGUACUAUACAUGCAAAGCACAUCGUCCAUUGUCAUAGAGAGGAAGAUCGAGAGCAGCACAUUUGUCUCCACAACUAAAAAUGGAGUUAGCUCUAGAAAUAAGAAUAUACUAAACCAAGAUAAAGGAGAGAUUAGAAACAUAAUAGAUGAGGAAGAUUAGGAGGAACAGUACCUACUGAAGAAAUUGGGGAAAAUAUUAAAAC
rnacentral:lncRNA from 1 species